rnacentral:lncRNA from 1 species
AGGCGUCUGGGCGGUUGUCUAUUUUUAUUAGCUAGAUUCUGUAAUCUUUCUGUUGUCUUUCUGUUAUCUUUUUGGGCUUAUAUAUAGCCCCAAUGCGAAUUAGAAAGGGAUUCUUUCGGUAGAGAGAAAUGUCCAGAGCUAUUCCACACACCUUGGAAGAGGUUCCUUGGAUGCUUAGGCUCUAAUCUACCAAGUUUAGGGUUAUUUCUUCCAUUCUUUCAUCAUAUUUCAUCUAGUUUCACCAUGAUUAUGGUGAACUAAACCCU